AUAUAUAUAUAACUCAGCCACAAAGAACCCUAACUACCUCCACUUCACUCUCUCACUCAUAAUCAUCACUCUUUGUUUCACACUCACCCACCAACAAUAAAAGAAAUUUGUUCUCAUUUUGAUUAAUUAGCCUUCCUUUUUUUGCUUGCUUUGAAGUUAUUAAGAGAAGUAAAUGUUGAUGAUUGAUGGGCUGCAUUUCUUGAUGUUUUCUUGUUGUUCAGAACUCUCUGGAAUUUACUGUGGGUGAAACUGCUGCUUGUUUUUGUUUUUUGGGGGGUUUUUAUUCUUUUCUUGGAUCAAUGUGAGUAAAGAUCUUACCUUUAAUCAUUUUUUUUUUAUUUUUUUUUUAUUUUUGCUGCUGAUUCUUUGCUUCUUGUUGCAGCUUUCUUUAUACAUAUGUUAGGACUUUGUUACUAUAAUUAGUUCUAUUAUGUUUCAGGUAAAUUAUCUCACAGAGAAAAUGUGAGUAAGAUAUUUAAAAAGAAAAGAAAUAUAAAAGAAAAAGAGGACCAACUAUAGAACUGAACUUCAGAGAGUCCCCAUAUUGGAUCAUCCAUUGCUUAUCAGUCAUCUAUCUGGCUGGUAAUUCAAUUCUCUUUUUUUUUUCUAAUAUAUAUAGUAUAUAGAUGUGUGUGUGUGUGUGUGUGUGUUGCACAUACAAUGAAGAUAAGGGUUGUAGAAUUGGUUUAUGCUUUUAAUUGAUUUAUUUUUCGGUUCUUCGCCGUGGAUUUGGCUUCAAUUUUUUUCCAUGUUCAUUGGUUUUGAUGUUGUUUAUGAACAGAUUUGAUUUACGAGGCCGAUUCGAGCAGUGGCCGAAAGCUAAAAUGAGGAACAGAGAGUUGAAUGGUUCUUUUAUAGCCCUACUUUUAUUAGNNN
rnacentral:lncRNA from 1 species